rnacentral:tRNA from 1 species
GCGGGAAUAGCUCAGUCGGUAGAGCGGUAGCUUCCCAAGCUACAGGUCGCGGGUUCGAGGCCCGUUUCCCGCU